CCCUGACCCAACGCCGAGGGACAACGGCACUGGCUACAGGUAAGUCACUGAAGGGUUUUAACCCCUUCAGCAACUUGGGAUGGGGGAGGGGACCUGCAGUGCCAGGAAAACGGUUUGGUAGCUCUCAGAUACAUCCUUAUGUUGGAAAUCCAGCCUGUGGUAUUAUGAGGCUAUAUGCUUUACAAUAUAUACUUUUAGCAUUAGGCAUAAGUUAUCCUUUACAAAUCAAUGUUUUUCUUUUUUCAUUAGUUAGUUGUGGGGUUUUUAUGGUUUAUUUUAACCGUUCCCCCAAGUCUCCUGGGUUAAUAUAGUUAAUAAAUUAUACCUAAUCACUGCUACUGUUAGUGUUGCGGAGACUCGAUUGAUACCUACUUACCUCAAUAUAUCAAGACAGACGAAUAGUUUGACUCCCAGUGAGUAUCUACACUAAUUAAGUGGCAUUUUUUGUAACAGUGCUCUUUGUUAUUUUUUUUAAGGCUCAAUUGUGGUUUAUAUUGCCGGGCCACUUUCCUUUCUGGAAUUAUAAACAUAUGUCCUCCCUACAGUCACUCCAUACACUGAGAUCUCCAUAUGUAUAUAUUUUCUUCUGUUAGGUGAUGGGUUUAUUAUUAUUU